rnacentral:rRNA from 1 species
UACGAAGGGGGCUAGCGUUGUUCGGAAUCACUGGGCGUAAAGCGCACGUAGGCGGAUCGUUAAGUCGGGGGUGAAAUCCCAGGGCUCAACCCUGGAACUGCCUUCGAUACUGGCGAUCUUUGAGUCCGGGAGAGGUGAGUGGAACUCCGAGUGUAGAGGUGAAAUUCGUAGAUAUUCGGAAGAACACCAGUGGCGAAGGCGGCUCACUGGCCCGGUACUGACGCUGAGGUGCGAAAGCGUGGGGAGCAAACAGGG